CCUACGGGUGGCAGCAGUGAGGAAUAUUGGUCAAUGGCCGGAAGGCUGAACCAGCCAUGCCGCGUGAAGGGCAGGGACCUAUGGGCGUUAAACUUCUUUUGUGCGGGAGCAAGAAUGGUCACGUGUGGCCAGACGAGAGUACCGUACGAAUAAGCAGCGGCUAACUCCGUGCCAGCAGCCGCGGUAAUACGGGGGAUGCAAGCGUUAUCCGGAUUUAUGGGGUUUAAAGGGUGCGUAGGCUGGGAAGUAAGGCAGCGGUGAAAUGCCCCCGCUCAACGGGGUGAAGUGCCAUUGAUACUGCCUUGCUGGACUGCGGAUGCCGUGGGAUGAAUGUGUGGUGUAGCGGUGAAAUGCAUAGAUAUCACG
rnacentral:rRNA from 1 species